rnacentral:tRNA from 1 species
GUUUUAAUAAUUUAAUAAAAAUAUUGGUCUUGUAAAUCAAAUAUAAGGAACAACCUUUUAAAACU